UACAGAGGUCUCAAGCGUUGUUCGGAUUCAUUGGGCGUAAAGGGUGCGUAGGCGGCGCGGUAAGUCGGGUGUGAAAUCUCGGAGCUUAACUCCGAAACUGCAUUCGAUACUGCCGUGCUUGAGGACUGGAGAGGAGACUGGAAUUUACGGUGUAGCUGGUGAAAUGCGUAGAUAAUCGUAAGGAAGACCAGUGGCGAAGGCGGGUCUCUGGACAGUUCCUGACGCUGAGGCACGAAGGCCAGGGGAGCAAACGGGAUUAGAGUACCCUGGUAAGUC
rnacentral:rRNA from 1 species